UACGUAGGGUGCGAGCGUUAAUCGGAAUUACUGGGCGUAAAGCGUGCGUAGGCGGUUCUCCAAGUCCGUUGUGAAAGCCCCGGGCUCAACCUGGGAAUGGCAGUGGAAACUAGGGGACUGGAAUCUGGCAGAGGGGGGUGGAAUGCCGCGUGUAGCAGUGAAAUGCGUAGAGAUGCGGCGGAACACCGAUGGCGAAGGCAGCCCCCUGGGCUGAGAUUGACGCUCAGGCACGAAAGCGUGGGGAGCAACAGG
rnacentral:rRNA from 1 species